AUGAGACGAUUGAGAGGUUUUUUGUGUUCAAGAUCUUUGUCCAUGAAGAAAGAAAAUGGAAAGGACCUUGAAGUGUGUUGGAAGAUUGGUUUGACGCGGGUUUCCAUAGGCAUGGUUCACGAAGGUGAUCAAUGGAACUUAGUCUUAGGUUUUCAUUUAUGUAUUUUUUCUUUGGAAUGUAAUAUGAAUGUCAUGGUUACAAGUGUAAAUGAAUAUGGCCUUUGUCUUCUUUCUUUGGAUUGA